rnacentral:rRNA from 1 species
GGGAAUAUUGGACAAUGGGCGAAAGCCUGAUCCAGCCAUGCCGCGUGAGUGAUGAAGGCCUUAGGGUUGUAAAGCUCUUUUGUCCGGGAAGAUAAUGACUGUACCGGAAGAAUAAGCCCCGGCUAACUUCGUGCCAGCAGCCGCGGUAAUACGAAGGGGGCUAGCGUUGCUCGGAAUCACUGGGCGUAAAGGGCGCGUAGGCGGCCAGAUAAGUCAGGGGUGAAAGCCUGGAGCUCAACUCCAGAAUUGCCUUUGAUACUGUUUGGCUCGAGACCGGAAGAGGUAAGUGGAACUGCGAGUGUAGAGGUGAAAUUCGUAGAUAUUCGCAAGAACACCAGUGGCGAAGGCGGCUUACUGGUCCGGUUCUGACGCUGAGGCGCGAAAGCGUGGGGAGCAAACA